UAGGGAAUCUUCCGCAAUGGACGCAAGUCUGACGGAGCAACGCCGCGUGAGUGAAGAAAGAUUUCGGUUCGUAAAACUCUGUUGUUAGAGAAGAACAGCGCAUAGAGUAACUGUUAUGCGUGUGACGGUAUCUAACCAGAAAGCCACGGCUAACUACGUGCCAGCAGCCGCGGUAAUACGUAGGUGGCAAGCGUUGUCCGGAUUUAUUGGGCGUAAAGCGAGCGCAGGCGGUCAAUUAAGUCCGAUGUGAAAGCCCCCGGCUCAACCGGGGAGGGUCAUUAGAAACUUGUUGACUUGAGUGCAGAAGAGGAGAGUGGAAUUCCAUGUGUAGCGGUGAAAUGCGUAGAUAUAUGGAGGAACACCAGUGGCGAAGGCGACUCUCUGGUCUGUAUCUGACUCAGAGGUUCGAAAGCGUGGGUAGCAAACAGG
rnacentral:rRNA from 1 species